ACUCUAGCGAGACUGCCGGUGUCAAACCGGAGGAAGGUGGGGAUGACGUCAAGUCCUCAUGGCCCUUAUGACCAGGGCUACACACGUGCUACAAUGGCCGGUACAAAGAGUUGCGAUACCGCGAGGUGGAGCUAAUCUCAUAAAGCCGGUCUCAGUUCGGAUUGGAGUCUGCAACUCGACUCCAUGAAGUUGGAAUCGCUAGUAAUCGCGGAUCAGCACGCCGCGGUGAAUACGUUCCCGGGCCUU
rnacentral:rRNA from 1 species